UCGGCGAUUCCUUUAUUGUUACGAUUCCAAGUGUAAAUCAGAUUUAUAUGUCAUGCCAAUUUUUUGGGGAAAAGUAAUCGAAACCUUGCUGAGUGCGACAUUUAUCAUCAGGUAUGAAACUUCUAUUUAUUUAUGGCUGACCUCCAUAUCUCUCUACCUAUUGACUUGGAUCUGCAUAUUCAAUCAAGAAUCUUUAAAAACAUCUAAGGUUUAAAUUUUUUCAUGAAUAAACCUAAAUGUUAUGCCACUGCCGGACUAUCAAUCUUCGUCGAACAUGUUACAGAUAUGGAUCAGAGUAACAACAAUCCUUCAUUUUAAAGCUGAUUGAGUAAGAUGACCCAUUAUUUUUGAUUUCAGAUGUUGGUUCUCUUACAUUAUGAAAGGUAAUUCCUGAAUGACGUCUUGAACGUGUUAAAGUAGAAGUUAAAGAAGAAGUUGCUGCUUAAAGUGUUUAGUAUUAGGGUUUAUAAAUGUUUUUUCUCAGUAUUACAUUUUAUAAAUGUUUACUUCUACAGACGUUCGUAUCAUCGAUUAAUCUACCCUAUUCAUCAUGAAAUUUUCAUUUAUUCAUAUAUAUGUAUAUAUAUUAUUUUAGAAACAUAGAUUAACAACCCGGGAGUAUU